GUAGUCAUAUGCUUGUCUCAAAGAUUAAGCCAUGCAUGUCUAAGUAUAAGCAAUUAUACCGCGAAACUGCGAAUGGCUCAUUAUAUAAGUUAUCGUUUAUUUGAUAAUACUUUACUACUUGGAUAACCGUGGUAAUUCUAGAGCUAAUACAUGCUAAAAAUCCCGACUUCGGAAGGGUUGUAUUUAUUAGAUUAAAAACCAACGCCCUUCGGGGCUCCUUGGUGAAUCAUAAUAACUUAACGAAUCGCAUGGCCUUGCGCCGGCGAUGGUUCAUUCAAAUUUCUGCCCUAUCAACUUUCGAUGGUAGGAUAGUGGCCUACCAUGGUGGCAACGGGUAACGGGGAAUUAGGGUUCGAUUCCGGAGAGGGAGCCUGAGAAACGGCUACCACAUCCAAGGAAGGCAGCAGGCGCGCAAAUUACCCAAUCCCGAUACGGGGAGGUAGUGACAAUAAAUACUGAUACGGGGCUCUUUUGGGUCUCGUAAUUGGAAUGAGAACAAUUUAAAUCCCUUAACGAGGAA
rnacentral:rRNA from 1 species